UACGGAGGGUGCUAGCGUUACUCGGAAUCACUGGGCGUAAAGGGCGCGUAGGCGGCUAGGCAAGUCUGGUGUGAAAGCCCAGGGCUCAACCCUGGAAGGGCACUGGAAACUGCCUGGCUUGAGUUCCGGAGAGGAGGGGGGAAUUCCCGGUGUAGCGGUGAAAUGCGUAGAUAUCGGGAGGAAUACCGGUGGCGAAGGCGCCCCUCUGGACGGUAACUGACGCUGAGGCGCGAAAGCGUGGGGAGCAAACAGG
rnacentral:rRNA from 1 species